UACGGAGGAUGCAAGCGUUAUCCGGAAUGAUUGGGCGUAAAGCGUCCGCAGGUGGCUAUGUAAGUCUGCUGUUAAAGAGUGAGGCUCAACCUCAUAAAAGCAGUGGAAACUACAUGGCUAGAGUGCGUUCGGGGCAGAGGGAAUUCCUGGUGUAGCGGUGAAAUGCGUAGAUAUCAGGAAGAACACCCGUGGCUAAGGCGGCUCUCUAGUACGGUACUGACGCUGAGACGCGAAAGCGUGGGGAGCGAACAGG
rnacentral:rRNA from 1 species